CAAAUACCAGUACAUUGGCCCUUAGUUUGCAGAGACCUAAAUUUCCAAACAUUUUUUCUUCCGCUGUAUCCUCUGAUUCAUACAACUGUCCUGUAAUGUGCAUAGACCAGGGUCAAUUAUCCUCAUUUAUAGGUGAGCAAACCAAGGCUGGGACUUGGUGAAGGCCCCUGGAGCAGGGCUUUGUGGAGCAGACAUCAGCAAACAAUGACACUCACUUUGAGGGCAGACCAUAUCUAGGAAACAUGCUAAACCAUGACAUCCCAAACCUAUAUGGUGUCUAUAUUAAUAGUCAUAAUAUAGACACCAUAUAGGACAUCUAGAAAAUCACAGAAAAAACCCAAACCUCCUAUAAUACAACCCAGCAGAGCCACUAAUAACGUUUCAUUAUUUUUCUCUUCGAUACUGUUAUAUGAAUGCAUUUAUUAUUAUUUUUUUUUAGACACAGAGUCUCACUACAUUGCCCAGGCUGAGUUGAACUC
rnacentral:lncRNA from 10 species